UACGUAGGGGGCAAGCGUUGUUCGGAAUUACUGGGCGUGAAAGGGCGCGUAGGCGGCACGGCAAGUCAGGAGUGAAAGCCCAGGGCUCAACCCUGGGAUGCCGGUGGAUACUGUCGGACUAGAGUACGGAAGAGGCGAGUGGAAUUCCCGGUGUAGCGGUGAAAUGCGCAGAUAUCAAGGAGGAACACCGGUGGCGAAGGCGGCUUGCUGGGCCAGUUCUGACGCUGAGGAGCGAAAGCGUGGGGAGCGAACAGGA
rnacentral:rRNA from 1 species